rnacentral:rRNA from 3 species
AAUCCAUAGGUUAAUGAGGCGAACCGGGGGAACUGAAACAUCUAAGUACCCCGAGGAAAAGAAAUCAACCGAGAUUCCCCCAGUAGCGGCGAGCGAACGGGGAGGAGCCCAGAGCCUGAAUCAGCAUGUGUGUUAGUGGAAGCGUCUGGAAAGGCGCGCGAUACAGGGUGACAGCCCCGUACACAAAAGCGCAUGUGCUGUGAGCUCGAUGAGUAGGGCGGGACACGUGGUAUCCUGUCUGAAUAUGGGGGGACCAUCCUCCAAGGCUAAAUACUCCUGACUGACCGAUAGUGAACCAGUACCGUGAGGGAAAGGCGAAAAGAACCCCGGCGAGGGGAGUGAAAAAGAACCUGAAACCGUGUACGUACAAGCAGUGGGAGCACCCUUUGGGUGUGACUGCGUACCUUUUGUAUAAUGGGUCAGCGACUUAUAUUCUGUAGCAAGGUUAACCGAAUAGGGGAGCCGGAGGGAAACCGAGUCUUAACCGGGCGUUAAGUUGCAGGGUAUAGACCCGAAACCCGGUGAUCUAGCCAUGGGCAGGUUGAAGGUUGGGUAACACUAACUGGAGGACCGAACCGACUAAUGUUGAAAAAUUAGCGGAUGACCUGUGGCUGGGGGUGAAAGGCCAAUCAAACCGGGAGAUAGCUGGUUCUCCCCGAAAGCUAUUUAGGUAGCGCCUCGUGAAUUCAUCUCCGGGGGUAGAGCACUGUUUCGGCUAGGGGGCCAUCCCGGCUUACCAACCCGAUGCAAACUGCGAAUACCGGAGAAUGUUAUCACGGGAGACACACGGCGGGUGCUAACGUCCGUCGUGAAGAGGGAAACAACCCAGACCGCCAGCUAAGGUCCCAAAGUCAUGGUUAAGUGGGAAACGAUGUGGGAAGGCCCAGACAGCCAGGAUGUUGGCUUAGAAGCAGCCAUCAUUUAAAGAAAGCGUAAUAGCUCACUGGUCGAGUCGGCCUGCGCGGAAGAUGUAACGGGGCUAAACCAUGCACCGAAGCUGCGGCA